UACGUAGGGGGCAAGCGUUGUCCGGAAUCACUGGGCGUAAAGGGCGCGUAGGUGGCGGCCCAAGUCAACGGUGAAAGCUCGGCGCUCAACGCCGAGUCGGCCGUCGAUACUGGGUUGCUUGAGCACUGUAGGGGCCAAUGGAAUUCCGGGUGUAGCGGUGGAAUGCGUAGAGAUCCGGAAGAACACCGGUGGCGAAGGCGGUUGGCUGGGCAGGUGCUGACACUGAGGCGCGACAGCGUGGGGAGCAAACAGG
rnacentral:rRNA from 1 species